AUGUUCUAAAGGGAUGUCAUCAUUUACAGAAUGUCUUUGUUGAAUCUGAAUGGUUCAAGCAAUAGCAAAAAAGGAUUAUUUCUCUCUCGGACAUUUCAAAGUAGUAUGCCACAAAAUAUCCAAGACUUGUUAUGGUGAGGAGCCAAGUGGAAUGGAAAGGAUAGCUCAUCCCGGCGGCUGGGAGUGCAUGCACACACAUGCCCCCUUUUUCUUGUCUACUAACAGGAUCUAUGGAAGGAGUUCAUAAUGAAGCAAGAGAUGGACCCUGAGGGUGCUUGAAGCCAACAAGUUUCACUUCUGGAAAAAGACUUCAGAAUAUGAGUUUAAAAUAUAAAAAGGGAAUUUGAGCCAAGACACAAGAACAAACUUUUUUUGACAAUUAUAUCUUUAUUAUUCCUCUUACAGAGCUACAUUUACUCUUACUAAGUUUCAGAGUCAGGUAGUAAUUUACAGUAAGACUUAAUUACCAUCCAUAACAUUAGAUGUCCUUAUUGAAACUUUAACAUCAUUUCCAAAUAUCAGCGUUAGCAUUGUGCUUGACAUUCAUUUAACGAAGUUACUGAAAAUCUAUUAAGUAUAAGACAUCAGUUAUUUUUAAUAGAACUUUCUGAAAACAUUUCAGCAAAAUAGCCUGUUGAGAAAAAUGUGUACGCUGAAAAAAAAAAACGAACGAAUAAGAAAGCCUGGUUCACAAACAGGUGUCAGGGAAAUAGACAGUACUUUUAUGGUAAUAACAUAAGAACAAACUUCCUGAAGGUAAGUUUUAUUAAAUAAUAGGACAACAACAACAAGAUAAAAUGACUUCUUCCUGAUAUUUAUAUAUUGAUUGCUGGCUGGUCGUAAGACUGUUUUUAGGCAAUGUGUUUUGAAAAACCAGAAAGUCUACUACCUUGAGUUUUCAGCCACGUGAGAAUAGCAAGAUUCAGUGUUUAUACUUGAUAGCAUCUUAAUUAGGCCUACAGGCCUCCCUUUCACAUAACUACCUUCCAGUUUAUGACAGCUCAAACUCACAAUUAUCAUUAUGGAGAAGAGAGAAGUGUUAAGCUAAAAACAGACCACUUUCAGAGGACCUGAAAGCAAUGUAAUCAGUCACCUAUUGCCAUAUACAAGCCACCCCCAAACAUAAUGACUUAAAACAGCAAUCUUCUAUUAUUGCUUAUGAGUCUCUGAGUCAGCUGAACAUUCCUGCUGAUCUGGGCUUGGUUAGGCUUAUUUUAGCUGUGUUCAUUCUUGGUCUGCAGAUAGCUGACAAUCACCUAGGGGCUGACUGUAGGCAUUCCAGCUGAGAUAUGCUGUCUGUGUCUUUUAUCCUUUAGCAGGAGGAGGCUUGCUCACAGGGUGGUUACAGGCAUCCAAGAGAGUCAGCAUAAAUGUGAAAAGUUUCCAAAAUAUCAGAUUCAGUCCUAUGUAAUCUGGUUUCCAUUGCAUUCUCUUGGCCAAAGCAAGUUGCAAGACAAAUCCAAAUUCAAGAAGGUCAAGAAAUACACUCCGUCUCCAGGUAGGAGAAGCUGCAAAGAACUGUGACAAUCUAUGACAAAUAGUAUGUUCAAGGAGAAUAAUAUGGGAAGAUGUGCCCUCCACCAACUUCUCAGGGAAAAAUACAGCUUUUGUAAUAUUUAGCAAUAUAGACUGUCUAACAUUUCUAGAGCUAUCUAUGACUUUGAGUUGAAAUAUCUGAGGCCAACACUCCAAGCAAUUUUAAACAAGUGGUGACAGAAAUUACCAGACACACAUCAAGACUCAAGUAUAAAGCUAUACAAUUUAAGGAUGCUCAGCAAAUGUUACUGAAUUGACUGGGUAGUCUGUAAAGAGCUGAAGAAUAAAAGAUGUUAUGAGAAACCCAACAAUACCAAAUAUAAAUUGCCUCAGGUUCUGAAAUAUUCAAUAAAGUAUUCUCACUGUAGUUCCUUCAGCUUAGCUGAUUUGGACUUUGGCUGUGAAAACAUUAUCCUCAGUGUUUAAAAGGUUGGAAAAUUCUACUGGGUCUUUGGCCCAACCUGGAAUCAAAUCCUGAUGCUAUCUUAGAACCUCAAAAUCUAAAAUCUUCUAUUGUCACUUUACAGAGCUAUUGAAACAUAUUAAUAAACUUAUACUGA
rnacentral:lncRNA from 1 species